rnacentral:rRNA from 1 species
GGUGACCAGCGGAGGGAUCAUUAAAGAGUUCUAUAACUCCCAAACCCAUGUGAACAUACCUAACGUUGCCUCGGCAGGUCGCACCUACCUUGUAGCACCCUACCCUGUAGGGCCUACCCGGGAGGUGCGGGUAAGCCUGCCGGCGGCCCACCAAACUCUGUUUGAUAUUGAAUUCUGAACCUAUAACUAAAUAAGUUAAAACUUUCAACAACGGAUCUCUUGGUUCUGGCAUCGAUGAAGAACGCAGCGAAAUGCGAUAAGUAAUGUGAAUUGCAGAAUUCAGUGAAUCAUCGAAUCUUUGAACGCAUAUUGCGCCCAUUAGUAUUCUAGUGGGCAGGACCGUUCGAGCGUCAUUUCAACCCUUAAGCCUUCGUUGCUUAGUGUUGGGAGCCUACGGCAACGUAGCUCCUCAAAGUUAGUGGCGGAGUUGGUUCACACUCUAGACGUAGUAAUUUUUUAUCUCGCCUAUUAGUUGGACUAAUCCCCUGCCGUAAAACCCUCAAUUUAUCAAGGUUGACCUCGAAUCGGUUCAGACAAACUCGCUAAAUUGAAGCAUCUUAGUCAGCGAAGGAAAAGAAACCAACAGGGAUUGCCCUAGUAACGGCGAGUGAAGCGGCAACAGCUCAAAUUUGAAAUCUGGCCCUCGGGUCCGAGUUGUAAUUUGUAGAGGAUGCUUUUGGCGCGGUGCCUUCCGAGUUC